GCUGGCGGCGUGCCUAAUACAUGCAAGUCGAGCGGUAACAGGGGGUCUCACCGUUUCCUUGACACACCUAGCGCUUUGGUCGUAGGUUGAUGACUUCGAGGGAACAGUGAGACUCUGCUGACGAGCGGCGGACGGCUGAGUAACGCGUGGGAACGGACCCCAAACUGAGGGAUAACUACUCGAAAGAGUGGCUAAUACCGCAUGUGGUCUUCGGAUUAAAGGAUUUAUCCGGUUUGGGACUGGCCUGCGUACGAUUAGAUAGUUGGUAGGGUAAUGGCCUACCAAGUCGACGAUCGUUAGAUGGUUUGAGAAGAUGAUCAUCCAGACUGGGACUGAGACACGGCCCAGACUCCUACGGGAGGCAGCAGUAGGGAAUCUUUCACAAUGGGCGAAAGCCUGAUGGAGCAACGCCGCGUGCAGGAUGACGGCCUUCGGGUUGUAAACUGCUUUAUAAGCGAGAAAUAUGAUGGUAACUUAUGAAUAAGGACCGGCUAACUACGUGCC
rnacentral:rRNA from 1 species